GAUGAAGAACGUAGCGAAAUGCGAUAAGUAAUGUGAAUUGCAGAAUUCAGUGAAUCAUCGAAUCUUUGAACGCACAUUGCGCCCCUUGGCAUUCCGAGGGGCAUGCCUGCUCGAGCGUCAUUAUAACCCCUCAAGCUCAGCUUGGUGUUGGGGCCUGCUGCACUGGCAGCCCUUAAAAUCAGUGGCGGCGCCAUCUGGCUCUAAGCGUAGUAAUUCUUCUCGCUAUGGAGUCCUGGUGGAUGCUUGCCAUCAACCCCCAAUUUUUCUAUGGUUGACCUCGGAUCAGGUAGGGAUACCCGCUGAACUUAAGCAUAUCAAUAAGCGGAGGA
rnacentral:misc_RNA from 1 species